rnacentral:rRNA from 1 species
AUGGAGCCCAUCAUUGGAAACAAUGCGCCGGCGAUCCAGGUUGUGGCAGCGCGCACUUACCAGGAGGUUUUUGUGCCCAGGCCCCUGGAUGCCGCUGCCCCCGACCCCAAUGAGGCUGCCCUCCAUCUCCACGAUGCUGUGGCCGACCCCCAGGUGGAUUUGCCCGCACCCCUGCAUCUUCUGCCCCCACCAAGGCAUUUCGUGGAAGAUGCACUCGAAUAUAUAUUCGGCUUUAUGAACGGCGUUCAUGAUGAGAAGACACUAGACUCAAUCUGGAUAAGAAGCAAUACACCGUACCGGAUCGAAAUUAGCCUCAGAAUGCUGAAGGCCACACUAUUUGUAACGUCAGCAAGCCUACAUCCCGAAUGCUUCAAUCUCGCUGUUCGUAAGCUUGCGAGCGCUGAAGUAGAGAGGCAUGCAGGCACCAACAUGGUUGGAGGAAAACAUUAUUUUGACUUGCAGUUUCAUGCUCAAUCAUGA